ensembl:lncRNA
UUUAUCCCAUCAUUAUGUGAAUGAUAAACAUAAUUCACUGGAUAACUUCCAAUUACUCAACUAUCCUUAUGCCAUAACAGAGGAAACAUUAUUAUGGAAAUGAGUAAUGAGCAUUCUUUUUGGACAAGACUCAAUUUAAAAAUGUUAGUUCCUGUUUUAUUGUUCAUUCUGAAUGUGCACCUGGCCUCAUCCAACAUUCUCCUAAAUCCUGCCAAUCUGCUGUUGUCCAAUAGCGCCCCCUCUAGGGAUCCAGGAGGAACAGCAGUCCCAUACAGAUGACCAGCAGAAGAAACAACAGGUCUCAUAUAAAGUGCUCCCCUUCAACACCCAGGUGUAGUGCAUCCUGGGAUGCGGUUGGAGGUACAGCUGACAGGCUCCCAGAGGGAGGGCCAUAAAAUGCUCCAGCACACUCAACUGCCCCUCCCCUCUACAACAGCCAACAGCCCAGAACAGCAUGAAGACAGAACAGCUAAAAGAUCAUCUGGGAAUCCUUCCUUCCUCAUGGAGAUUUUUGAAGUUUCACUUUGAGUCAAGUUCUGGAUAUGUUGGAUCUAGGUGACCGCCCAGACAAGGCAUGCAACAUUACAGUUAUCCCUCAAAAUGAGAAAAAUGCUGUCCUCAGUGAUUGUGAUAGCGAUGGGUCAGAUAUGGACUAUGAGGGGGAGACAGGCCAUUUGCCUGCCAGGAUUUUGAAUGCAUAUGCUGAUCCUAUGCAAACAGAUCAUGACAGGAACAACGUUAUCAGUGAUGAUGACCCGCCCACCCCCCCAAAACACACUUUUGAUAAUGAAGAGCCAACGGCCACUACCUGCCAGAGGGUCCAGUCAGAAGAGCCAAGGGCAAAGCUGCAUGUGGUCAAAAAUAAAGAUUGAGUGUUCAAAUGAUCGAAGAGGCCUGCCACUGCUGUGAUUCCAAAACACAUAGUAUACAGCCCAAAUGCUGCAGAAUGUGUAAAACAAAGCUGCCCCAACCCAAUGGAUGUUUUCCUAUUAAUGUAUCCAUCCACCCUAACUUUGCAACUCUAAAACUACUUCCAGCCUGGACAAUAAAAACACAAUAAUGCUGUGGAAAGUAACAGCAGCAGAAUGUAUUUUUUUUUAAACAUACAGGAGCACUAUAAAAUAAAAUGCAUUGCAGAACUUAUGCAGUAUGUUAUUUACAGACAGCUACAGUGGACAAGUCAACUUCGGCAGCACAUGUGAAUGUGUCCCUCGUUAUUCUUGUGGCCAGUGGGCCUACUCAAAGUAUACUUUAUUAUUUUUGACAAGCAGGAUGCUUUAGCUCAGAUUAUAAAAGACAUGAAUCAGCAUUAACGCAUUAUGCAGAGGAUUGUCUGCUGUCUAUGGAUAGAUCCCAUCCCAAGUGCAUAUUCCUCGCAUAUUCCUUCUCAAAACCCAUUAGAUGAGAAAGCCAGAGGUCCCUCCCCUCUGACCUUUUUCUCCAAAUGGUUUUGAGGAGCGAGGACACGAGUAUACAAUUCUCUCCCUGUAAAAUGGACUGAAUAAAAUGAACCUGUGAAUAAAAUACUGUACAUAGUCACUUAUAUUAAAAUCUAAUAAUAGAU